AACCUGGUACCGUGGGGGCCCCGGGGGGGGGGGGGGGCCCCGUAGGGGGGGGGGGCACCGUAGGGGGUGGGGGCACC
rnacentral:SRP_RNA from 1 species